AAAAUUCCUUUUUUUUAAAAAAAAAAAAAAAGAAAAAAAAGAAGAUUCCUGCUAUGGAAAAAGAUUGUGAUUAUGAUACACCAAUUUGUAGUAGUAAUCUGGGAAUCAUAAAAUGUGAUAUAAUAUGUAGCAUGAAUUCCUUACAAAUUCCCAACAUCAAAAUAAAAUCUAAUUUAAAAACUAACAUUUGUCAUCAUUCAGGUUCAAAUGGAGAGUGAAGAUCUGCAGAUAAAACCAAAGCUCUACGAACGCUCCACUACGUUGCAUAUUUUGGGCCAUCUCAGGGGUAGGUGUAUCAGGGGUAGGUGUAUAAAGGGUAGGUGUAUCAGGGGUAAGUGUAUCGGGGGUAGGUGUAUCAAGGGUAAGUGUAUUAGGGGUAGGUGUAUUGCUCAGCACCAUUAUAAGACGCUGUUUCUGAGGGCUGUAAAUAACUGCUCUUCCUUACCAGGUCUACCUUCAUAACUGGCUGUGGGAGAAUCCUGUCUGGCCUGAAGCUCUGAAGAUCUGCACUGCUAUUUGGGAUGCCAUUGCUGAUGGGAUGCUCACUGUUAUCUCUUGCCGUAUAAGGUGACACUCUGGUGCUUUUGUUUAGAUCGAAUCCAAAAGUCUUGUUAUGUUCCUGGAACUGCUCGGACCGUUUCAGAACCUGGGUGCUGUGGGUGGGUUGGAGGCCACUGCUCAGAGGUGGUAGAAGGGAAGGAGAACUAGGGUUGGUUAAACCCGGGGGAUAGGUAUAGACUGGGGCAGGAGUCUGGUAGGUUGGCGGUAAGGCAAAAGCUGGCUGGUGCAAGUAAGUGGGUCGAGGGUACAAGUGCGACCCGCUGUAGGUGGAGGUAUAAUCUUGAGAUAUGGCCCCAUUACCGAAUUGCUCUGAAAGGUUACUUGCACUCGCUACAGAACCUUUUAUUCCAUCGAUCCCAUCUGCGUUAUAGCCCAUAGACCAGGCAUCCUGGCCGGGUUCACUUCUUCGGAAUGCGCCGGGCUCCGGGUAGACCGGAGUGAAGGAAUACCUCUCAGCAUAGCGCUUCAGCAAGGUGGAGGCGCUGAGGGCGCUGAUAUCGUCAGAAUAUCCGGUGAAAGCAGGAUGACUGGGCUGCGGAUAUGAAACAGGCUUAGGGUGGGCAGGAGGUGACGUGGUGGAAGUGAUGUCAUAGUGUUGCUCUGCCCACUCAGACGACCAGUGCAUCUUUACCACAUCU
ensembl:lncRNA